rnacentral:rRNA from 1 species
GAUGAACGCUAGCUACAGGCUUAACACAUGCAAGUCGAGGGGAAACGACAUUGAAGCUUGCUUCGAUGGUCGUCGACCGGCGCACGGGUGAGUAACGCGUAUCCAACCUGCCUCUGACCAAGGGAUAACCCGUCGAAAGUCGGCCUAAUACCUUAUGCACUCGUCGGAAGUCAUCUGAUGACGACGAAAGAUUUCAUCGGUGAGAGAUGGGGAUGCGUCUGAUUAGCUUGUUGGCGGGGUAACGGCCCACCAAGGCAACGAUCAGUAGGGGUUCUGAGAGGAAGGUCCCCGAGAUUGGAACUGCGACACAGUCCAAACCGGUACGGGGGGGAGCAGUGAGGACUAUUGGGCAAUGGGCCAGAGCCGGACCCCGCCACGUGGCGUGCAGGAUGACGGCCCUAUGGGUUGUAAGCUGCUAUUAAGGGGGGAUAAAGUGGGGGACGUGCCCUUCAUUGCAGGUACCGAAUGAAUAAGGACCGGCUAAUUACGUG